ACUGCGAUAGAUCAGCUAGUAGAGCAUCUGCCCGGUAUGCGGAGGGUCGCCGGUUCGAUUCCGGCUCGCGGCG
rnacentral:tRNA from 1 species